CAGCAGCCGCGGUAAUACCGGCGGCCCGAGUGGCGGUCACUAUUAUUGGGCUUAAAGCGUCCGUAGCCGGGUUGGGAAGUCCUCCGGGAAAUCUGGCCGCUUAACGGUUAGAAUGCCGGAGGAUACUCCCAGCCUAGGGAGCGGGAGAGGCCGAGGGUAUUCCCGGAGUAGGGGUGAAAUCCUAUAAUCCCGGGAGGACCACCUGUGGCGAAGGCGCUCGGCUGGAACGCGUCCGACGGUGAGGGACGAAGGCCAGGGGAGCAAACCGGAUUAGAUACCCGGGUAGUCCUGGCGGUAAACGAUGCGGACUUUGUGUCGGACAAGCUAUGAGCUUGUCCGGUGCCGGAGGGAAACCGUUAAGUCCGCCGCCUGGGGAGUACGGCCGCAAGGCUGAAACUUAAAGGAAUUGGCGGG
rnacentral:rRNA from 1 species